UACGAAGGGGGCUAGCGUUGUUCGGAAUCACUGGGCGUAAAGCGCACGCAGGCGGAUCGUUAAGUCAGGGGUGAAAUCCCGAGGCUCAACCUCGGAACUGCCUUUGAUACUGGCGAUCUUUGAGUCCGGGAGAGGUGAGUGGAACUCCGAGUGUAGAGGUGAAAUUCGUAGAUAUUCGGAAGAACACCAGUGGCGAAGGCGGCUCACUGGCCCGGUACUGACGCUCAUGUGCGAAAGCGUGGGGAGCAACAGGG
rnacentral:rRNA from 1 species